CACCCCACGAGUAUGUACUGCUUGGCCCUGUCUGUGGCUGACAGACUUGCUGUGUGGCCAUGGACUGCCUGCCGGCUUCCACUUUGUGCCCAUUUCUUCAUUGACAAAGCAGGGAUGAUGUUAUUUGCUCAUCGCCUAAGGAUGAGUGUGAAUCACCCACCAGUCAGCAUUUGGAAAGUCCACUCAGAUGGAAGGAUGAGUAAAUGAAGUGAGCUUUGCAACUUGCCUCCGCCCGACUAACUUGCUGCCUGCCUUUCUAGAGAUCUGCCUGUAAUUACCUGAUGUCAACAUGCAGCCGUACAAAGGUGGUCCUGAGCAGGACUGUGGAUCACAUGGAUCUUGGUGAGCUGCUGGAGACAGAAGCUGGCCUUGGAGGCUCGCAUCUGACACUCGGAAACUAAACAGACACCCCAGGACCAGGCAGUAGCUCCUUGGCUUUUCAGAAGCCUCUUUGUGUGAUUACUGGGACAUGGCACCUGAGGAAUGAAGGACUUCUCACCUAUUUGCUGUCCUUUGACCCAACUUGGGAGUGC